AGAGUUUGAUCCUGGCUCAGGACGAACGCUGGCGGCGUGCCUAAUACAUGCAAGUAGAACGCUGAAGAGAGGAGCUUGCUCUUCUUGGAUGAGUUGCGAACGGGUGAGUAACGCGUAGGUAACCUGCCUUGUAGCGGGGGAUAACUAUUGGAAACGAUAGCUAAUACCGCAUAACAAUGGAUGACACAUGUCAUUUAUUUGAAAGGGGCAAUUGCUCCACUACAAGAUGGACCUGCGUUGUAUUAGCUAGUAGGUGAGGUAAUGGCUCACCUAGGCGACGAUACAUAGCCGACCUGAGAGGGUGAUCGGCCACACUGGGACUGAGACACGGCCCAGACUCCUACGGGAGGCAGCAGUAGGGAAUCUUCGGCAAUGGGGGCAACCCUGACCGAGCAACGCCGCGUGAGUGAAGAAGGUUUUCGGAUCGUAAAGCUCUGUUGUAAGUCAAGAACGGGUGUGAGAGUGGAAAGUUCACACUGUGACGGUAGCUUACCAGAAAGGGACGGCUAACUACGUGCCAGCAGCCGCGGUAAUACGUAGGUCCCGAGCGUUGUCCGGAUUUAUUGGGCGUAAAGCGAGCGCAGGCGGUUUGAUAAGUCUGAAGUUAAAGGCUGUGGCUCAACCAUAGUUCGCUUUGGAAACUGUCAAACUUGAGUGCAGAAGGGGAGAGUGGAAUUCCAUGUGUAGCGGUGAAAUGCGUAGAUAUAUGGAGGAACACCGGUGGCGAAAGCGGCUCUCUGGUCUGUAACUGACGCUGAGGCUCGAAAGCGUGGGGAGCGAACAGGAUUAGAUACCCUGGUAGUCCACGCCGUAAACGAUGAGUGCUAGGUGUUGGAUCCUUUCCGGGAUUCAGUGCCGAAGCUAACGCAUUAAGCACUCCGCCUGGGGAGUACGACCGCAAGGUUGAAACUCAAAGGAAUUGACGGGGGCCCGCAC
rnacentral:rRNA from 1 species